rfam:Picea glauca, whole genome shotgun sequence.
AAAUGCCUACAAAAUAGCUUUAAUGCACUGGAUCCCAUUAUAUCUCCACGGUUAAGCGCGCUCAGAAUAUAGUAGUUUUUGGAUGGUUGACCACCUGGGAAGUCUUAGAGUUUUACAUGCC